GAAGCAUUUUCAGAGGUUUUUUAACUAUUUUGAAAUUAGGAAGGAUUUAUAUCAAUCUAUAUAUUUUCUUCUACUCCUCAGUAUGAGAGUAAUCUAUCUAGAGUGUUCCAGGCAUCUUUUUUCCAAUUUGCCAUCUUCUGUAAACAAGCAAAAAGUUGUUACAAAUCUGUUUGCCAAAAUGCGCGGCAAAAAAACAAUUUAGAGGAAGGCUACUGGUUUAUUUGUAAUGUUCCACUAGUCAGUGGGCUUUUUAAAUGUUAAUUUUUAAAUUAUAGUUUCAGAGUUGAAGAAGAUGCCAAUUGUUCAGGCAUUACAGCAUUCACAACUGAACAUAUAUUGGCAUCAUAACUGCUUACGGUCACCUGCAUCUCUUGUCUUGAACACAAAUCAGAGAUAUUUUAUGCUUAAGUGAAGCAGCCUGUCCAAAGUCACUGUCUGCUCUAAAAAACAGCAUUUUCACACAAGUUCUUACUGCAAUCCACACAGACUCAGAAGAUGUAGAAUCACUGCCAAGUGUUUGCCACUGACAAACAAGUGUCUAAUAAUGAAAAAAAACCGUAUCAAUAAACUUAUAGCAAACAACCUGCAGUUCCUUAGUGAUAAUCAUUAUUUCACAAUAGCCAAGGUCCCUCUAAGGGUUAAAGGUUGCACACUGAAGGUACGGAGCUAUGUAAAGAGGGAAGGGCAAACAUGCCUAAGGUACACAAAACACUGACCUUAAUUGUCAUCCCCAGGAAAAGGGGGAAGUGGUGUCUGCCAUCUCUGGCAUCAGCCAUCUCUUCUUGCCCUGGCUCUGGUUCUCUUUGGAGCCACCUUCGACUUCAUUCAGUUUUUUUACCAGUGGCUUAGUAGGAUAAUCGAAACAUUUUUUUCCCCCACUCCCACAAUAGUUUUAUUUUGGGUUGAAGAAUUAAUUCACCUCGUGUAAGCUCAAAAACAAGUGCCAGAGAUGAUGGAAGGGGAAGUGGUGGGGAUGCAUGAUCCGAGCAGAAAACAGGGUCAGCUGACAUUUACCCUGUCUCAGUUCACCCUUGGGACUGAGGCCUCAACACUCAAUUAGAAAUUGGGUCAAUCAAGGCUUUCACUGAUGCCACCAGGGGGCCAUUCCAGAUGAUUUUGAAAGAAGACACAAAGUGUCAUAAUUAUGUGAGACUGUGUUUUAAUGAGCAAUUUGAUUAAAUCUACCUUGGGGGGGGUGCUAAGCAGAAGUCAUAAAAAGCUGUUAUUCAGAGGGCAGGAAUUUAAAGAAGACCCAGAGCAGCCCCUCAAAAACAACUACAAAAUACAUGCUAUAAAACUUCCUUCUCGUUACAAUGACAAUUAGGAAAAUUUAAAAAUACAUAUGCUAGAGGCUUAAUUUAAAAAAA